rnacentral:rRNA from 1 species
GAUGAACGCUGGCGGCGUGCCUAAUACAUGCAAGUCGAGCGAACAGACGAGGAACUUGCUCCUCUGACGUUAGCGGCGGACGGGUGAGUAACACGUGGAUAACCUACCUAUAAGACUGGGAUAACUUCGGGAAACCGGAGCUAAUACCGGAUAAUAUAUUGAACCGCAUGGUUCAAUAGUGAAAGACGGUUUUGCUGUCACUUAUAGAUGGAUCCGCGCCGCAUUAGCUAGUUGGUAAGGUAACGGCCUACCAAGGCGACGAUGCGUAGCCGACCUGAGAGGGUGAUCAGCCACACUGGAACUGAGACACGGUCCAGACUCCUACGGGAGGAAGCAGUAGGGAAUCUUCCGCAAUGGGCGAAAGCCUGACGGAGCAACGCCGCGUGAGUGAUGAAGGUCUUCGGUUCGUAAAACUCUGUUAUUAGGGAAGAACAAAAGUGGAAGUAACUAUGCACGUCUUGACGGUACCUAAACAGAAAGCCACGGCUAACUACGUG